rnacentral:lncRNA from 1 species
UAAAAUGGUUUACAUAUGAAUGUAAAAAUUUUUAAUUUCAUAUAUGCUCAAUUACCUUUCAUUUUUCUUCUCCUUUUUGUCAACAUCAAAACAGGAAGAACUAAAGCGAAGGAUUGAAGAUAAAUUGAAACAAGCAUCCAUUGAUAUAUAAAGUUUAUUACAAGUUGGUAUUGUUUACAAAAGGUAGCCUUACAAAUAAUACAGCAUUUUUCAUUACACUCCAUAAUAAAGUAG